GACGAACCGUGCAAACGUUGUUCGGAAUCACUGGGCUUAAAGGGCGCGUAGGCGGCUUGCCAAGUCAGGGGUGAAAUCUUUCGGCUCAACCGGAAAAGAGCUUUUGAUACUGGCAGGCUUGAGGGAGGUAGGGGCAUGUGGAACUUCCGGUGGAGCGGUGAAAUGCGUUGAUAUCGGAAGGAACGCCGGUGGCGAAAGCGGCGUGCUGGACCUCUUCUGACGCUGAGGCGCGAAAGCUAGGGGAGCGAACGGG
rnacentral:rRNA from 1 species